GCUUGAGUGUGGUAGGGGCAGAGGGAAUUCCCGGUGUAGCGGUGAAAUGCGUAGAUAUCGGGAAGAACACCAGUGGCGAAGGCGCUCUGCUGGGCCAUAACUGACGCUCAUGGACGAAAGCCAGGGGAGCGAAAGGGAUUAGAUACCCCUGUAGUCCUGGCCGUAAACGAUGAACACUAGGUGUCGGGGGAAUCGACCCCCUCGGUGUCGUAGCCAACGCGUUAAGUGUUCCGCCUGGGGAGUACGCACGCAAGUGUGAAACUCAAAGGAAUUGACGGGGGCCCGCACAAGCGGUGGAGUAUGUGGUUUAAUUCGAUGCAACGCGAAGAACCUUACCAGGGUUUGACAUCCUGCGAACCUCUUGGAAACGAGAGGGUGCCUUCGGGAACGCAGUGACAGGUGGUGCAUGGCUGUCGUCAGCUCGUGUCGUGAGAUGUUGGGUUAAGUCCCGCAACGAGCGCAACCCACGUCUUUAGUUGCCAGCAUUUAGUUGGGCACUCUAGAGAGACCGCCGGUGAUAAACCGGAGGAAGGUGUGGAUGACGUCAAGUCAUCAUGCCCCUUACAUCCUGGGCUACACACGUACUACAAUGCUACGGACAAAGAGCAGCAAGUUCGCGAGGACAAGCAAAUCUCAUAAACCGUGGCUCAGUUCAGAUCGUAGGCUGCAACUCGCCUACGUGAAGGAGGAAUCGCUAGUAAUCGCAGGUCAGCAUACUGCGGUGAAUACGUUCCCGGGCCUUGUACACACCGCCCGUCACACCAUGGAAGUUGGCCACGCCCGAAGCCGUUACUCCAACCCUUGUGGAGGAGGACGUCGAAGGUGGGGCUGAUGACUGGGGUGAAGUCGUAACAAGGUAACCGUA
rnacentral:rRNA from 1 species